GCGGUAGUAGCUCAAUUGGCAGAGCAUCUCCUUCCCAAGGAGAAGGUCGCGAGUUCGAGGCUCGUCUACCGCU
rnacentral:tRNA from 1 species